rnacentral:sRNA from 3 species
UGUCUCCGCCCAUGGCGGGCGUUUCCUCCCUUCGACUUGAGGCCCUGUCCGAUCCCGGACGGGGCCUUCUUAUGUCCGGC